CAGAACUGUGCUGGCCAGGUGCUUGCUGGGCAUUUCAGAGAAGCCAGAGAGUGGGAGAAACACCAGUGACUGGACCUGAGCUGUAGGGAAUGGAAAAGGCCUUUGAAGGUGGAAUGGAGAAGAAAGGGCCUCCUAGGCAGGGGCUGGGCCCAGAGGAGGGAUCCACAGUGAGUGCCCUGGAGCAGGCCACUGGCUUGACCUAGAGAGGAGUCACUGUUUCUUAGCAAGGCAACUACGUGGACUUCAAGGUUGGCUUUGCCUGGUAAAGCUCUGAUGAUGAGGAUAAUGACAAGUAAUGUCUGGGAGCUACUGUAUUCGAUGAAAACAGAACUCCACGUCUCCAAGGCUACAGGCCUCCUGAAAUGGAGAAGAGACCCCAAGCAAAGUGGUCUUUCCAGGAGACAUCAAGUGCGGUCAUCACAGUGACUCUCCUCUCAUCUCCUCCUCACAGCAUUGGACUUGCCUUUAAGAUCUCCAGUUUAGAACAGCUUCAGCUGGGGGAUGGCAAUGGGGAAUGGGAUGGAAGCCAGAAUUUGCUCUCCUAAAUCUGGCCCGAGCGAUAGAAGGCAUCUUUGGCCUGAAGAAGUGUAAUACAAAGAAAAUCCUAAUUGCUACAGCUAAGUAAUUAGAAGAUCCAACCUAUAUAUCAUAGUGUGGCCACCCCUUUAAUUAUGUGCACAGUUCGGUCGGUGACUAAUGCAUCUUCUUUCCUAGAUGAGCGUAUUUAAUAUCCUGUGAUGGCAACAAGUUUCAAGCUGAUUUAUCGUUAUUUUGUUUGGUCAGAUGAUUUUCCUGCAUUUUAAUGUGUUUUGUGGUUACAUAUUUGCUAUGAACAAACAAUGCUUUUCCCAGGUAGUACGCUCUAAAAUGCUGGCUGCACGAUUUGUUUACUAUUCUUUUAGGCCUCUGAGAAAUCAAAAAACAUUAUGUACUUAUUUUUGAGUAGCUGCACUAAAAUCUUAAACAGUCUCCUUAGAGCCCUUCUUUCUCUGGCAGUAUGUACACACGCAAUAAAAUAUUUGAAAAAUU
rnacentral:lncRNA from 1 species